UCCCCCAUGGCAAUGGGCAAAGAGACACCUUGUUGGUGUUGUUCUCAUAUCAGACAGGGACAGAGCAGUUGGCAGUCCUUUGUUCAUCCUAGCCUGAUGCCUGGCUUGGUGGCCAAAGCUGGUUCAUGCCUAGGACACAUGA